GGAGGGCAAGUCUGGUGCCAGCAGCCGCGGUAAUUCCAGCUCCAAUAGCGUAUAUUAAAGUUGUUGUGGUUAAAAAGCUCGUAGUUGAACCUUGGGCCUGGCUGGCCGGUCCGCCUCACCGCGUGUACUGGUCCGGCCGGGCCUUUCCCUCUGUGGAACCCCAUGCCCUUCACUGGGUGUGGCGGGGAAACAGGACUUUUACUUUGAAAAAAUUAGAGUGCUCCAGGCAGGCCUAUGCUCGAAUACAUUAGCAUGGAAUAAUAGAAUAGGACGUGUGGUUCUAUUUUGUUGGUUUCUAGGACCGCCGUAAUGAUUAAUAGGGACAGUCGGGGGCAUCAGUAUUCAAUUGUCAGAGGUGAAAUUCUUGGAUUUAUUGAAGACUAACUACUGCGAAAGCAUUUGCCAAGGAUGUUUUCAUUAAUCAGGAACGAAAGUUAGGGGAUCGAAGACGAUCAGAUACCGUCGUAGUCUUAACCACAAACUAUGCCGACUAGGGAUCGGACGAUGUUAUUUUUUGACUCGUUCGGCGCCUUACGGAAAC
rnacentral:rRNA from 1 species